UACGAAGGGGGCUAGCGUUGUUCGGAAUUACUGGGCGUAAAGCGAGCGCAGGCGGUUAUGUAAGACAGAUGUGAAAUCCCAGGGCUUAACCUUGGAACUGCAUUUGUGACUGCAUGGCUAGAGUGUGUCAGAGGGGGGUGGAACUCCACGUGUAGCAGUGAAAUGCGUAGAGAUGUGGAAGAACACCGAUGGCGAAGGCAGCCCCCUGGGAUAACACUGACGCUCAGGCUCGAAAGCGUGGGGAGCAAACAGG
rnacentral:rRNA from 1 species